rnacentral:rRNA from 1 species
UACGUAGGGUGCGAGCGUUAAUCGGAAUUACUGGGCGUAAAGGGUGCGCAGGCGGUUUUGUAAGCCAGAUGUGAAAUCCCCGGGCUCAACCUGGGAAUGGCAUUUGGGACUGCAAGGCUAGAGUGUGGCAGAGGAGACUGGAAUUCCUGGUGUAGCAGUGAAAUGCGUAGAUAUCGUAAGGAAGACCAGUGGCGAAGGCGAGUCUCUGGACAGUUACUGACACUGAGGCACGAAGGCCAGGGGAGCAAACGGG